GGGGGUAUGGCGGAACUGGUAGACGCGCUAGACUCAAAAUCUUGUGGCCUCUGGCCGUGUCAGUUCAAGUCUGACUACCCCUACCA
rnacentral:tRNA from 1 species